GUUUCGAUGUGAAGGGUAGGCUGUCGUUAAGUGGGUGUGAGGUGUGUCCACUGUUUGCCCGUGGACGCUUCAGCACACUGCACCUUGGGCUGUGCUCUUACAGUGCGCCUGAGCUCGGUGAAACAGAUCGUGUGCGUGCGCCAUGUGAGUUCCUGGCUCACACAUGAGCAAGGAGGGAUGGCCCAAGCCUGGGACUCAGGAUGAAGUUCCCCAGGGCUCAGGAAAGUUCCUGCACGGGUUCACAUGUGCCACACCUGACGACUCUGGAGAGCAGCCACGCUGGGUUUCAUACCCCAGAGGAUGCUAGCUGAAGGUCGAAACACAGGAAUGUGCUGGAAGGGUUCUUUCAGCCCCGUUAGCCACCCUCUGUGUCUGUCUGUCCUACUGUGACACCAGCUAACAGUCCCUGGCUGCAGGCUCCCUAGGAUACAGUGCUUACAUGGUGAUCAACUGGGGGUUGCAGAGGGUAUUCUAAUACUUCUGAAGACUAUAGGUCAUGAGCAUGAAGUUGAAAUAUCAAGAGGUUUGGAGAUCAGAAACGACACUUCCUAU